GAUAAACGCUGGCGGCGCACAUAAGACAUGCAAGUCGAACGGACUUAACUCAUUCUUACGAUUGAGAGCGGUUAGUGGCGGACUGGUGAGUAACACGUAAGCAACCUGCCUAUCAGAGGGGAAUAACAGUGAGAAAUCAUUGCUAAUACCGCAUAUGCUCACAGUACCACAUGGUACAGUGAGGAAAGGAGCAAUCCGCUGAUAGAUGGGCUUGCGCCUGAUUAGCUAGUUGGUGGGGUAACGGCCUACCAAGGCGACGAUCAGUAGCCGGACUGAGAGGUUGAACGGCCACAUUGGGACUGAGAUACGGCCCAGACUCCUACGGGAGGCAGCAGUGGGGAAUAUUGGGCAAUGGGCGAAAGCCUGACCCAGCAACGCCGCGUGAAGGAAGAAGGUCUUCGGAUUGUAAACUUCUUUUAUGAGGGACGAAGGACGUGACGGUACCUCAUGAAUAAGCCACGGCUAACUACGUG
rnacentral:rRNA from 1 species